CGUGUACUGAACUAUUUUCAUAAGAAGCUGGUUCUCGCACCUGGCAUUUUUCUUGCAAGGAAAAUUUGGAGAGACAGUGGGUAGCAAAAAGCAGCGAUGGAGGUCUUAGGAGAUAAAGGAGAAGAAGAGGUAUGGAUGAAGGGAGUGGAAGAAAUGAGAAAAAGGAUGAAUAGUGGAAACGGUGGUCCAAAAGAGAAUGUAUAUGGGGAAUGUAUGAGGCAUGAGUAAAUGGAGGUGGUCAGUCUCUCUCUCUUUCUCUCUCGUGUCUUGAUUUAGAAACUUGCUUCAAAGCUGUGAUAAAAUGUAAUUACAGUAAGUGGAAAUACAGAAAUAAUCGUGAGCGAUUGUUUCAACGUAAAAUGCAACGUCGAACGUGGGACGAGUGUUUGUCUAGGAAUUUUAACUUGAUUUGAAGUUUGAUUAAAUUUUGACGCGACACGAGGAUUUCCACAAAUAAAGAACUUCCAGCUAAACACAUUUGUACGAAUAAUAGUCAAUGAGAAAAAUGUUCAAGUUUCUAAUAACCUUAGGCGUGGGAGUCUAUGCUGGUAUAUACAUAAGUCAAAAUUAUGAGGUACCUCGUGUAGAUGAUCCUUCUAAAAUAAUCGAACGGAUAAAGCAAUUUGCGGAUGAAUAUAAAAAAAAGUAAUAACUAGCAGUAAU